rnacentral:rRNA from 1 species
AUUGAACGCUGGCGGCAUGCUUUACACAUGCAAGUCGAACGGUAACAGGGUGCUUGCACCGCUGACGAGUGGCGAACGGGUGAGUAAUGCGUCGGAACGUGCCGAGUAGUGGGGGAUAACGCAGCGAAAGUUGUGCUAAUACCGCAUACGUACUGAGGUAGAAAGUGGGGGACCUUCGGGCCUCACGCUAUUCGAGCGGCCGACGUCUGAUUAGCUAGUAGGUGAGGUAAAGGCUCACCUAGGCGACGAUCAGUAGCGGGUCUGAGAGGAUGAUCCGCCGCACUGGGACGGAGACACGGCCCAGACUCCUACGGGAGGCAGCAGUGGGGAAUUUUGGACAAUGGGCGAAAGCCUGAUCCAGCCAUGCCGCGUGUCUGAAGAAGGCCUUCGGGUUGUAAAGGACUUUUGUCCGGGAGCAAAUGCUGGUGGCUAACAUCCACCGGAGCUGAGAGUACCGGAAGAAUAAGCACCGGCUAACUACGUGCCAGCAGCCGCAGUAAAAC